AACGAACGCUGGCGGCAUGCCUAACACAUGCAAGUCGAACGAGAUCUUCGGGUCUAGUGGCGCACGGGUGCGUAACGCGUGGGAAUCUGCCCUUUGGUUCGGAAUAACAGUUGGAAACGACUGCUAAUACCGGAUGAUGACGAAAGUCCAAAGAUUUAUCGCCAGAGGAUGAGCCCGCGUAGGAUUAGCUAGUUGGUGUGGUAAAGGCGCACCAAGGCGACGAUCCUUAGCUGGUCUGAGAGGAUGAUCAGCCACACUGGGACUGAGACACGGACCAGACUCCUACGGGAGGCAGCAGUGGGGAAUAUUGGACAAUGGGCGAAAGCCUGAUCCAGCAAUGCCGCGUGAGUGAUGAAGGCCUUAGGGUUGUAAAGCUCCUUUACCCGGGAUGAUAAUGACAGUACCGGGAGAAUAAGCUCCGGCUAACUCCGUGCCAGCAGCCGCGGUAA
rnacentral:rRNA from 1 species